UACGUAGGGUGCGAGCGUUGUCCGGAAUUAUUGGGCGUAAAGGGUGCGUAGGCGGUUUGGUAAGCCUGAUGUGAAAUCUAUGGGCUCAACUCAUAGUCUGCAUCGGAAACUGCCGGGCUUGAGUAUGGGAGAGGUGAGUGGAAUUCCUGGUGUAGCGGUGAAAUGCGCAGAGAUCGGAAAGAACACCAACGGCGAAAGCACUCUGCUGGGCCGACACUGACACUGAGAGACGAAAGCUAGGGGAGCGAAUGGG
rnacentral:rRNA from 1 species